rnacentral:tRNA from 1 species
GGCUUGGUAGCUUAGUUAGUAAAACCACUCGCCUAACAUACAAGAGUGGUGGGUUCAAAUCCCACCUGAGCAC